UCUCCCGCUUCUCCUCCCUGAGCGGGUGCCAGCUGAAUCCCCCCUGAUGUUCAGCUGGUGUUUGAAUGCCUCGCGCGCCAGACGCUGCGAGGCAUUUUUUUU
rnacentral:ncRNA from 1 species